GAGCUUUCACUAACAUCAUCCAGUUGGUUAGAGCGUGGUGCUAAUAUCUCAGUCUCCGGACUGUGCCACAUACGCCAAGGUCGCGAGUUCGACCCUCGUAGUGACCA